ACUAACUCACGUCACACAAGAGAACAAAUAAAAAAAAUAAAAAAAAAAUAAAAAGGUUCCAAAUAGCAAAACAGUCUUAAAUGAGUGCUUUACUCAAUUUGUAUAACGGGCAUCUCCAUCAGACUACAACGCCGCUUUUUACUUGAAUAUUUGGACGGUAAUUAUGAUUACACUACGAAUGUAAAAAAUAGGCAAGUUACAGUAAUCAAAGUUAAAUUUUUAAUAUGAGUUGAUGUGUAAUCGCUCCUAUAAGAUUACUUCGAGAUAGAAGGUAAAGGAAUUUAUAAAAACCAUGACGGAACUAAUCACCUUAAGAUGCUUUUUAACAAGUACCCGAAAUCUCUGGAGUUAAUCAUUUCAACUUUGUGUAAUAAAUGAUGCAAGCAUUCUACUGACUUAAUAUUCAUAUACAUUCAACAGUCUAGCUUACAGUGCACAUGUAUAGCAAAAAAACAUUUUAUGUUUCAGCAUACAUUUUAUUACCUUGGAGUACUAGCUUCUAAAUACAAUACAUAUUCUCCAAUUAGGGCAUUUAUUCUAGAUCAAUAUUUAAAAUAUCCACAUUCAUAUUCUAUUCCUAAAUCAUGCACAGUAGUCUAGAAUUGUUCA